UACGUAGGGGCCUAGCGUUGUCCGGAAUUAUUGGGCGUAAAGAGCUCGUAGGCGGUUCGGCAAGUCGGAUGUGAAAUCUCCACGCUUAACGUGGAGGGGCCAUUCGAAACUGCCGUGACUCGAGUCCCGGAGAGGAGAGUGGAAUUCCUGGUGUAGCGGUGAAAUGCGUAGAUAUCAGGAGGAACACCGGUGGCGAAGGCGGCUCUCUGGACGGUGACUGACGCUGAGACGCGAAAGCGUGGGGAGCAAACAGG
rnacentral:rRNA from 1 species